rnacentral:rRNA from 1 species
UACGUAGGGUGCAAGCGUUGUCCGGAAUUAUUGGGCGUAAAGAGCUCGUAGGCGGUCUGUUACGUCGGCUGUGAAAACCUGGGGCUCAACCCCGGGCCUGCAGCCGAUACGGGCAGUCUAGAAUUCGGUAGGGGAGACUGGAAUUCCUGGUGUAGCGGUGAAAUGCGCAGAUAUCAGGAGGAACACCGGUGGCGAAGGCGGGUCUCUGGGCCGAUAUUGACGCUGAGGAGCGAAAGCGUGGGGAGCGAACAGG